GCGCACCAGUCGAGAAAACUUCACAAUGUGCGAAAGCACGAUGAGGGAAUCCCAAGUGCUUGCACGUAAGUGUAAGCUGUUUCUCUGUCUAAAACGCAGAGAGAGUAAGGGCUGGGUAAGACGGGUGCCAGCCGCCGCGGUAAUACCUGCAGCUCGAGUGGUGACCGUUAUUAUUGGGCCUAAAACGUCCGUAGCCGGUUUAAUAAAUGCCUGGGUAAAUCGGACCGCUUAACGGUUCGAAUUCCGGGUAGACUGUUAAACUUGAGACCGGGAGAAGUUAGAGGUACUCCUGGGGUAGAGGUGAAAUUCUGUAAUCCUAGGGGGACCACCAGUGGCGAAGGCGUCUAACUAGAACGGGUCUGACGGUGAGGGACGAAGCCCUGGGGCGCAAACGGGGAUUAGAUACCCCCGUAGU
rnacentral:rRNA from 1 species